AAAAAGACUGCUGUUCCAGAACAUCUAUACACACUGUUCAAAUUGUUGGCAACCAUCCUAUGCUACGAUUCCAUGCAAAAGCUGCGUCAAUGUAGCAUACUGCUCAGAAACUUGUAAAGACAAAGCCUGGGAUAAUUACCAUGAGGUGGAAUGCACACUUAUGGUAUUCUUGCUUUGUUUUGAACUCAAUGAAGAUAUUUUCCUAACCAUGAGAAUGGCAAUAAUGGCCACGCAAAAAGGCAAAAAAAUACAUUUAUUGAAACAAGAAUUGAUGACAAUUGAUCAAAACACAGAUAUUUGACAACUACUUUAUGUUACCUUACGCAGCAAUUUCGAAAAAACUGAGACAAGAACGUUUCAAAGAGUGGAAAUUCAAUUGUGAAUGUCUACGCUGUGCAAAAAGUUGGCCCACGAUUGAACACAUACCUAGCUUCAGGGACCAAGCAUUAACUCGCCAGGUUAAAACCACACGACUUUGGCGAACAGAUAAGGACUGAUACCUACUCACUGAAAACAUUGAAUAAACUGACCUACAUGGUUGAAACAGUUCAUAAACUGGUACGGAAACCUUGCAGAGAAUUGAUGAUGAUAGUCAUGCUCAAAUCUUUGUAUGACAAAACCAUUUUCGAUUAUGAACCGGCAGAUCAACUCGAGAUAGACAUACUACAAACAGCCAAUUUAUUCUCUCAAAACUUAUACAGAUAAAACGAUACAACCUAUCUUUGUGAGUCAUUUUUCUUUCUACUUUGUAUGUGUAUUAGGGUGGUCCGUAUUUGGGCGUUUUACAAAUUUUCAU